rnacentral:misc_RNA from 1 species
GAAAACUUGGCUAAACCUCCUGCUAUAGGUAUAAUCGGCGCCUAAUUAAUCCUAUAAUCACAUUUGGUCAAAAUAUACCUAGCAAGAUCGGAAAAUUCUUCUUGGCUUAUAUACCCAUCUCCGUUUGCGUCUGCAUGAUGGAGUGCUCGAAAAACUCGCCAGCUCGCAAAAUGAGAACCUAGCUUGCUGAACAUAUUCUUCAGCUCUUGCUUGCUAAGGCGGCCAUCUUGGUUGAUGUCACAGCUCCUAAACAAUGCUACCAAUUGCUCUUCUGUAUAAGGAACACCCCUAACCACACCCUUUUUGUCCUGUUUAAACGCAGUCCUAGGGCAAUUUUUAUCUACUCCCCUAUGGCUUAAUGAGAAAGCCAUGUUUUUGGAGGUUGGUUUAAGAAAAUGUUAAGAGUUAAGAGAGCUUGCAGUGUUUGUACUGUGGUAUA